GUCGAGAGGCUUCGGCAAUGGGGGAAACCCUGACCGAGCGACGCCGCGUGGAGGAUGAAGGCCUUUGGGUCGUAAACUCCUUUCGUGGGGAAAGAAUGUGUUCAGGGUAAAUAAUCCUGGGCAUUGACGGUACCCCAAGAAGAAGCUCCGGCUAACUCCGUGCCAGCAGCCGCGGUAAUACGGGGGGAGCAAGCGUUGUUCGGAAUCACUGGGCGUAAAGGGCGUGUAGGCGGUUCGGUAAGUGGGAUGUGAAAUGCCCCGGCUCACCCGGGGACCUGCAUCCCAAACUGCUGAGCUUGAGUACAGGAGAGGGUGGGGGAAUUCCAGGUGUAGCGGUGAAAUGCGUAGAUAUCUGGAGGAACACCGGUGGCGAAGGCGCCCACCUGGCCUGCUACUGACGCUGAGGCGCGAAAGCUAGGGGAGCAAACGGGAUUAGAUACCCUAGUAGUCC
rnacentral:rRNA from 1 species